UGGGGAAUAUUGGACAAUGGGGGCAACCCUGAUCCAGCAAUGCCGCGUGUGUGAAGAAGGUUUUCGGAUUGUAAAGCACUUUCGGCGGGGACGAUGAUGACGGUACCCGCAGAAGAAGCCCCGGCUAACUUCGUGCCAGCAGCCGCGGUAAUACGAAGGGGGCUAGCGUUGCUCGGAAUGACUGGGCGUAAAGGGCGUGUAGGCGGUUUGUACAGUCAGAUGUGAAAUCCCCGGGCUUAACCUGGGAGCUGCAUUUGAUACGUGCAGACUAGAGUGUGAGAGAGGGUUGUGGAAUUCCCAGUGUAGAGGUGAAAUUCGUAGAUAUUGGGAAGAACACCGGUGGCGAAGGCGGCAACCUGGCUCAUGACUGACGCUGAGGCGCGAAAGCGUGGGGAGCAAACAGGAUUAGAUACCCUGGUAGUCCACGCUGUAAACGAUGUGUGCUGGAUGUUGGGCCAACUUAGUUGUUCAGUGUCGUAGCUAACGCGAUAAGCACACCGCCUGGGGAGUACGGCCGCAAGGUUGAAACUC
rnacentral:rRNA from 1 species